AUUGAACGCUGGCGGCAUGCUUUACACAUGCAAGUCGAACGGUAACAGGCCUUCGGGUGCUGACGAGUGGCGAACGGGUGCGUAAUGCAUCGGAACGUACCCAGAGGUGGGGGAUAACGCAGCGAAAGCUGUGCUAAUACCGCAUGUGAUCUGAGGAUGAAAGCGGGGGACCGCGCAGCAAUGUUUGGCCUCGCGCCUUUGGAGCGGCCGAUGUCGGAUUAGCUAGUUGGUGGGGUAAAGGCCUACCAAGGCAACGAUCCGUAGCUGGUCUGAGAGGACGACCAGCCACACUGGGACUGAGACACGGCCCAGACUCCUACGGGAGGCAGCAGUGGGGAAUUUUGGACAAUGGGCGCAAGCCUGAUCCAGCAAUGCCGCGUGCGGGAAGAAGGCCUUCGGGUUGUAAACCGCUUUUGGCAGGAACGAAACGGUGUCCGCUAAUACCGGGCGCUAAUGACGGUACCUGCAGAAUAAGCACCGGCUAACUACGUG
rnacentral:rRNA from 1 species